UACGUAGGGGGCAAGCGUUGUCCGGAAUCAUUGGGCGUAAAGAGCGCGUAGGCGGUCCGGUAAGUCGGUUGUGAAAACUGGGGGCUCAACCCUCAGAGGCCGACCGAUACUGUCGGGCUAGAGUCCGGAAGAGGCGAGUGGAAUUCCUGGUGUAGCGGUGAAAUGCGCAGAUAUCAGGAGGAACACCUAUGGCGAAGGCAGCUCGCUGGGACGGUACUGACGCUGAGGCGCGAAAGCGUGGGGAGCGAACAGG
rnacentral:rRNA from 1 species